CAGCGGGAUGCAGAGCAGACAAACUGUUCUCCAAUAGAGAGGAACCAAGUGUUGGUCUAGCCAUGGCUUAAUCAAUCCUGUGGGCACUGCUUAUGGCUUUGGAUGAUACCAACCCAUUUGGCCUACCAUCUCAAGGACUUCCCCGAAGGAAGAAGGGGAGAUUCACCUUUAAGGGCUGAUGUCCAGGUACCCAUGGCAAUUCUACGACAGUUAGAACCCACAGUUGGUUGGCACGACUUGAUUGGCACAGUUUGGUCCCGAGACUAUAAAGGAGUCCCAAGAUGGAAAACAGAUUGAAAUCAAGGGGUGUAGUGUCUAUGAUACUGCAGAUGAGCAGAGAUUCCACAGAUUUCUACAAGGGGCAGACGACAUGGCUUGUUAUCUCUUUCUUCUACUUUUCGGUUAUGUAUAUCUCGGAAGUGCCCUGGUUUAGUAGGAAGAAUGACUUCCAGUGCCAUGGGAACAUCUCUGAUGCCUGCAUGGCCGAGUGCUACAACCAGCAUUUCUCCAUGCCUAUGAUAGGAGUUUGGAACACUGUUGGUUUGACCGUCUACUCUGUCUUUUUUAUGAUGGAGUUUUCAGUCUUUAAAAAUUUAACUAUAAGCUCAGAAUAUUCACAGCAAUCCUUAGAGGAAGAGCCAUGCCACAGCCCACUCUAUAAUAAACAUGAUGCAAAGAGUGAGGAAAUGAUUUUGAAGUUGUCUAAGGAGAAGUUCCUGUUGUCUACAUUCCUCGCCUACUAUAUGGGUCAGAUGGCCAUUCAGGGGAUCUUCCUGAUCAUCAUAUGGUACUAUCAACGAUCCCUGAUUAAGGAAGAUGUCUGGUGCCACACAACUGUGUGUCUCGGACCAUACUUGUGCGUGUUCAUGGGGGUACAGGAGAAGUUAAUGUCCAUCACACUUAUAACUAUCCUUUCUGUGAUAAUCAUCAUCUUCUGCUUUAUAUUCUUCAUGUAUACCAUUAGUCUGUACGCUCUCACGAGUGUAAUCCUGAUGGACACAAAAGCUAAAUUCCAGCAGCUGUCCAAGUGACCACUGACCCAACCUGGAGUGCAAAUAAAACUGGACUGGUUUUGAAUAUUCCCUGAUGCUCCUGUCUGGGAAAAACUACAA